UACGGAGGGUGCAAGCGUUAUCCGGAUUCACUGGGUUUAAAGGGUGCGUAGGCGGGCAGGUAAGUCCGUGGUGAAAUCUCUGAGCUUAACUCAGAAACUGCCAUGGAUACUAUUUGUCUUGAAUAUUGUGGAGGUGAGCGGAAUAUGUCAUGUAGCGGUGAAAUGCUUAGAUAUGACAUAGAACACCAAUGGCGAAGGCAGCUCGCUGGAACGGAACUGACGCUGAGGCGCGAAAGCGUGGGGAGCGAACAGG
rnacentral:rRNA from 1 species